rnacentral:rRNA from 1 species
GACAGAGGGUGCAAACGUUGCUCGGAAUCACUGGGCGUAAAGCGCACGUAGGCGGCUUCUUAAGUCAGGGGUGAAAUCCUGGAGCUCAACUCCAGAACUGCCUUUGAUACUGAGGAGCUUGAGUCCGGGAGAGGUGAGUGGAACUGCGAGUGUAGAGGUGAAAUUCGUAGAUAUUCGCAAGAACACCAGUGGCGAAGGCGGCUCACUGGCCCGGUACUGACGCUGAGACGCGAAAGCGUGGGUAGCAAACAGG